rnacentral:tRNA from 1 species
GCCGAAAUAGCUCAGUUGGGAGAUCAUUAGACUGAAGAUCUAAAGGUCCCUGGUUCAAUCCCGUCUUUAGGCA